rnacentral:rRNA from 1 species
AUUGAACGCUGGCGGCAUGCUUUACACAUGCAAGUCGAGCGGCAGCGCGGGGGCAACCCUGGCGGCGAGCGGCGAACGGGUGAGUAAUGCAUCGGAACGUACCCUGGAGUGGGGGGAUAACGCCGCGAAAGCGGCGCUAAUACCGCAUAUGCUCUGAGGAGGAAAGUGGGGGACCGCAAGGCCUCACGCUCUGGGAGCGGCCGAUGUCCGAUUAGCUAGUUGGUGAGGUAAAGGCUUACCAAGGCGACGAUCGGUAGCUGGUCUGAGAGGAUGAUCAGCCACACUGGGACUGAGACACGGCCCAGACUCCUACGGGAGGCAGCAGUGGGGAAUUUUGGACAAUGGGGGCAACCCUGAUCCAGCCAUGCCGCGUGAGUGAAGAAGGCCU